rnacentral:lncRNA from 1 species
CACUUUAUUUGAAACUAUAUACAAAGGCAGCAUUAACAGUACAGCAGUAAAUUGUAUUAACAUAAACUAUAAAAGAUACAGUGAAACUAUAAAGAAGCUACUAACAACUCGUCACUCCAAAAUAUCAAACAUUCUCAAUCACAUGUCCCACACAUAUUGUAAACACGUCACAAUAUUUGUUAACAACAAUAACAUCUACAAUUCGAAGUUAGUUAAGAAUAUAAAUAAUAUCGGUAUAUGGUAGAUGCAUCAUGCCGGUAUAUAUUUGCAUGUACAAAAGAUGAAAUCACAGAAAUCACGUUGAAUUGCGACUAAUCUACACUUGAAAUUAUCACCACUCUUUCAACUGACGAUGCUAAAAGGCAUGACGAUUUUUAUAUCUACUCAGUGUCAUCUUUGUCAUCUUUCAAAUACAAACUAAAUUAAACAAGCAUUGAGUACAAAAACAGUUAUAUAAUGUGGAAUGUCAAAUAGUUUGAUUAAAAUGCAGUCAAAUAAUUCAAUUCAGUAUUCUACUGCAACAACGUUUGUAACGUUCAUUUUGAUUGGAUAACGUCACUUUCUUACAUGGCAUCA